UUAAUUGAAGCCAAAAAGAGGCAUAUUACUGUUAAUAAUACUAUUGGAUAAUUUUUUCCCAAUUAAA
rnacentral:tRNA from 1 species